rnacentral:misc_RNA from 1 species
UUUCCGUAGGUGAACCUGCGGAGGGAUCAUUAUAGAGUUCAUGCCCUACCGGGUAGAUCUCCCACCCUAUGUUAUUAUUACUUUGUUGCUUUGGCGGGCCGUUAGGCUCCGGCCCGACUACCGGCCCCGGCUGGUAAGCGCCCGCCAGAGGACCCAAAACCCUGAAUAUUAGUGUCGUCUGAGUACUAUAUAAUAGUUAAAACUUUCAACAACGGAUCUCUUGGUUCUGACAUCGAUGAAGAACGCAGC